UUUUUAUUAGUAUAAUUUAGUAUGGUUGUUUUCCAAACAAAAGGUUUAAUUUAAUUAAAUAUAUAA
rnacentral:tRNA from 1 species